CCUCAAUGCUGUCAUCCUGCUGUCCAUCUGUGAGUUGGAAAGGGAAGGUUUUAGAGAUAAAGAGAACAGUUUGGCUGGUGUUAGAAUAAUUGAACCAAGAAGCAGUGAAGCACAGAGCCAAAGACAGUCAAAGUGGAAGGAAAAGGAAGAAUGAACUUGGAAGGCACUUUGGAGGCUCGUUAUCUGACAAGGCUUUGGCGUGAGAGGAAAAGAAGUCAAGAUGAAGGCCACAGCUUCUUGACUGGCUCACUGGGUGGGGCACUACACCCUGGUAAUCCAAAAAAGAAGCGAGAAAGAAGUGUAAGAGGAAAAAUCAUUCAUUUUCUUUUCAAUACAUUAACUUCGAGUUACUUGAAGCACACACCAAAAGAACUAGGCUGAUGGGCAGGUAACAUUUUGGACUCGACUCUGGAGAGGGUAGUAAUUGCCGGGUAAGGUAGUCGAAGUCUGGCUCACCCAGCCCGAGACAUGUCAGAAAUAAGGGCCUGGGCCUGAAUCCUGAGGAGAAGGGACACUGGAGAGGCAGACAGAGGAAAAGGACCCUGCAUUUAAAAGUGAGGACGCAGACAGGGAAUCUGGAGGUCGGGUAUCAAGGAAGCCUAGAGAGGAGAGAUGUAGAAACAGGUGCCAUGAUGCAACGAGGUGAAGUGAGGAAAGGUGAGUGUCCAUUGGGCUCAGUGAGACAUGGUAACCUUAGCAAAACCAUUGUGGGUGCGUUCCUGAAACAGGAAGAUGAGAGAUUAGUUAAGAAGUUGAAAGAGAGGUAAGGAAGCAUAGAUAACAAAUUUACUUAAAUCUUUCAAGAAGUGUUUUUUAUGAGGUUUAUGAAUAUAUCCACAUUGUCUACAUAUUGAAUAUACCUGACUUUCAGUAAAUGUUCUCUAUAAUAAAUUGUAGCCUAUGUCUAUAUGAUAGUUCUUAACAUAUGUAACUGAUACAGCAGGGUAGACAAUGUGCUAAGAAUUCUAACAAAGGACUUUUAAAGAUAGAUCGUCAUUGGUAGAAUGAGCCCCUUACCUUUAUUGUUAGGAAGGUCGUGGUGCCAUCUCUCCCGUGCAGCCACAUCUCUUCAGAGAUCUGUAACCGGCUAAAGAAUAUACACCGCAGGACAUUCCUGUCUCACACUUGAGGACAGAAUAUUUCUGCUGUAGGGUCCUAAGGUUUAGCCAUUCUUCGUGAGCUGAGAGUUAGAAUGACCUUUUCAAAACUGCAUCAAAGGUCAUUUUGUAGUCUGAGGGUGCUUUGUGCUUUGUAAGCUUCAUCUUUAUUUGCAGUUAAGAGAAACUGUCUUUUUAAAAGGGUUAAAUACAGUUAGUCCCCGCAUUCUAUCUUACAUUCAAAAUACUGUAAAAAUCUGAGUGUAGAUGCAUUUUGGGGAAUUGAAUAGAAAGUUUUUCUGUCCAGUGUUGUGACCACCAGCCACCUGUGGCUUUCAGCACUAGAGGUGUGGCCACUCUGAACGGGACGUGAUGCACAUUGCCAGCACGAGACGUGUGCCAGGUUUCUAAGGUUUACUACAAAAUAACAGUCUUAUAUGUGUUUAAAUGAUAUAUUUAUUUUUCUGAUUAAAUAUACUCUGUUAAAAUUAAUUUCAUCUGUUUAUUUUUGAAAAUGUGGCUACUAGGACAUUUUAAACUACAUUAUGUGAUAGAACACUGUAUUUCUGUUGGAGAGCACUGGUAGAAAGUUUUGGUGGUCACUGUGCUAUCCAGAAUUUUUUGGCUCUGACAUCCCAGUAUUGAACGUGAACAUAUUUUAAUAUUUAAGUAGUAUACAUACAGGGUCAGGUACAAACAAUGUCCCUUUUCUUAUACAUAAAAAUUUUUAUUACAAAAUCAUAAGCAUGUAAUUCUGUAACAUAACAAUAUCACACUCAAGCACACCAUGUGACAUUUUAGGUGAAGUGUUCAAAUUGCUGUCCCUCUCAUGUGAGACGCUCACGCACCCUACCAACCGCACUGGAUGGUGUUACUGCUGCCAGACCCUGUACUUCUGCUGGAAUUAACAGCCCUAGAUCCAGAAAAGGCUUAGGGUUAACUUCAAAUCUCUGAAAGUCCAAAAUAUUAAUACUAACUUCAAAACAGUUCAUCUUCUACCACACAAACGUGUUCCUUUUCCAGUGUGACGAAGGCCCAGAAGGGAAGGUUGAGUGUCACCCCGAACCCCCCCUCUGUGCCCUCUCACGUUGGGGGUCAGUUGGCGUGCAGACGUCGCUUAACUCUUUCUAAAGUCUGUCCCCUCCUCUUCAUCCCACUGCCCCCGUCUUGAGGCUCUCAGGGCAUCACACACUGACUACUAUAGUCGUCUUAGAAAUGGAUGACCUUUUGCCUUCCUACCCACCCUCGGGAGAGACAUCUCACCUUGUUAUCCCCAGAAUCUAGCACAGAACAGACUCCGUAGUAAGCACUCAAUAGAUGUUUGUAGAUUGGAUGUCAGAGCUGCUGAUAUUAAUCAAAAGUUGCAGAAUGAAAAAAAGACUUUUAGUCCUACAUGUAAUGUAUGUAUAUACAAUUGCACACACAAAGUGAGUGCAGAUGUAAUUCUCUGGCUGAACUUGUCGAUGCUUUAAAAGGUAUUCAGCAACUUUUGCAUUCAUAUUCUUUAAGUUUUUAGUGUUUCUUUAUUGGGUAUUCUUGGAAGUGAUGAUAUACUAAGUAUUCUGUUUUGCCAAGGAUUUUGAUUUGCCAAUAUAAGUUUUUGGCAGUCAGUCCAGGGGAUCAUUGGUGCCAUGAAGACAGCUCCUUGUUUUUGUCCGGGGUCCCCAUGGGAUUAAACUACAUCUGGCAAUAAGUAGGGAUUUGAGUCUGGCCCUCUUCAAAGGCAAGAGACUGCUAGUAUUUAUCAGAUCUGUGUGGAUAAGCAAAUGGGAAGGGAUUAAAUUUUUUGGUUUUGUUUUCCUUCCUUUUGUAGCUAACUAGAAAAUGAACUUCUAGAAGUUCAUACAACAAAUUAAUACACUUUUUUAGUGGUUGUUGAAGAUGAAAGCUUUUUUUUUCCUAUACCUACGUCGAUAAUUGAGAACUUUAGAUUAAUAUUUUAAUUAAGUGUAUAUUUUUAUAACUAGUGUAUAGAGAGCUUAACAGCCAUUUACGAUGCUCAGAAUUAAUUUUCUGGAGAUUUUAACAUCCAUAAGUAUAGGACAUCAUGGUUGGCAUUUGCAGGCUCUCGUUGCCUAUUUAUCUGUGAGGGAAAGUUUACCCAAAAUUGCUUUCUGAGGAGAACCUCAGCCCUGUCUUAGGGUCGGCCGCUAUGCCUUCCAAGUGGAGGUGGGCCUUCCCCUUCACAUUUUUAAGGGGCUGUUGGCCUGUGACUCAGUUUAGCUGAUGUCGAAGCCUGUGGCUCUGCGUUUAACUGACAGAAUCCAAUGGCCACGUUCCAGGUACUUGUCAUGGAGUGUAAUCUAGAAUUUACCAUGCAAAGCCUCACCUGAGAGAAAUAAUGUUUAUGCAGGAUUGCCUGAAGAAUAUGCAGUCUUUCCAUUUGUCUAUACUUUAAAUCUAUCCAGGAUUAAGUCAGUCCCUCUGAGAGUCACAUACCUGGAUUCCAUCAUAUUGCCAAGGGAGGAAUUUCUUAUCUCAGGAAUAGAAAUAAUGUGUUUUUUUAGGCCAUCUGGUUUAUUUUUACAUUAUGGUCAUAUUUGACUCUUGUAAGUGUUCGUGUCUCUUUCUUUAUGUUGCCUGCUAGAAAGCUGAGGGCCAAGUCCAUGGUGCUCUUUUAACAAGUCUACACCAUUUCAUGGUGUGAUUUUUAUGUACUUAUUGUUUUUGCAUUACCUUACUUAUGUUGUUUAUUUUAUCUUGAUGACUGUGCAUUAUUGUGAGCUGUAAAUUGUUUUUUAAAUGAAGCCAUGCAAAUGCAAACAAAUAAUAAAAUAGAUAGGUGUAUCUGUCCUUUAAUUUUAUAUAGCUGUUCACCAUCCAUUCUUACAGAACAGAAUUUUUAAAAGCUCCAUCUCCCUAUGUGUAUUAUACUAUAAAUAGUUUAAAAUAUCUGUAUAUUAUGAAUUCCUAGAUUUUAGAUUAAGAGUGACCUAAGGUUGAAAUGUUAAUUAAAUGUUUUAAUGUUCUAUAGCUCUAAAGAAAAUAGUUGGAUAAAAUGUCAGCAUAUAGGUCUAUUUUAAACAUUAGAAAAAAAUCAUCUCCCUGAAAAGGAGGGUAAUUGUACAAGUUUGCCUAAUCCUUUUGAUCUUGGCACACAGCAAUACAGACUUCAGUUGAGAUUAAAACUAUGAAUUUCAAAGGAAACAUGGCCUUCAGUGUGUAAAAUAUAUAACAGCUGGUUGACUAGCCCAUUUAAAACUACACAAUAACAAUCGUAGACAGAAUGAUUCUCCUGCCAGAAGAUGCACGAGUGCUUGAUGGUUAUAUCAAGAUGUGGUACUAACUCACACUUUUCUUUAGUAAUGAUAGAAAUGGAGCAAUGAGCGGGGCGCUGUGGCGCGCCAUCUCUCCCCUGCCCCACAGUUCAAGGGCGGUUUAGAAGUACACGACUCCUUUUAGUGAUUGCUCUGUCUGCUUUUCAGUGCAAACGUCACUGUGUUGUUGACUAAAUUUCAUUGUUUGUAACUCAGACAUCUUUUCUUUUUUCCGUAGCAUCCAAUAGUUGUUUUUCUUUUUCCCUAAAUCCUUGAUCCUACUCUUCCCCCCUUGAUUCAUGACUUAUUGUUGUUAAUGUCACAGCUUCACACAUAUUUUAUGCCCUCAAAGUUAAACUUUUCCAUUUAAGUAUAAAAUCUGCCUCACGCUUUGUUAUAUAUUUAUAUUAAGGUAAAUAUCUGAAUUUGGAAGCAUUGUGAUGUAUGGGAGAAUGCUAAUUCAUGUUAGUAUGUAGUUCAUCAAAAUUUUAACAUUUUCACUAUUGUGCUUCAUGUGAACAAGUACUAAUUUUUAAUAGGUUAAUUAAUACAUCUUUUAAAAAUGAGUAAUAUGGGUUUGUCACUUUUGACUAAUCCUACUUGGAAAGUACAUUUACAUUCAGAAUUUGUAUCUGUUCUGCAAAGAAAUGUUGAUUUUUCUGUGACCUUUGUUUUUUGAAAAAUUUUGAUAUAACAUAGCAAAUUUUCUGUUCUUUCCAUUUAUUUUGAAGAAGGAAAUUACAGGUAACUAGAAUUUUGCUAAAGUGACUUGGAUUCAUCACAGUUUCAAAGCCAGCACCGAAGGAGUUAAUGUAUCUUAUUAGGGGGACAGGAAAUCUGGCAACUAUUGCAGAAACGAGACCUAAUGGUGCACACAAACAAUUUGUCAGUCUUCUUAAAUGUGAAUAGCUUUCCGCAAAGUGGCUGCUCUUGCUUUGUUUGAACAGGCUAAACUUUUCCUUUUUGGACUUUAAAUCUUAGAAGCGAAAUGUGAUCCACAUAUUCAAUCAAAAUCAUUUAAUUCAAAGCAUAUUUUGAUUGGAACAAAGUUGACAUGGAAAGAAACUCUAGAAUAAAAAAGUUGAAAGGACUUUAUAUCAUAUAUUUAGCAGGAAAAUUUGAAACAGUUCUAAUUAGGCUGAAAAAAACAGCUUUCUUCAAUGUAAAUUACAAAGGUCAUAUAUCAAUGUUAAGGAAACAUUACCACUAGUGUUUGAAAUCCAGCACAUGCAAACAUAACAGACCAGUUCAUUUUAAAUGUGUGUGUGUAUGUGUGUGUAGAAGGCUGUAUUACAUGUAUUUGAAAUGAAAAAUACUUAAAAUUCCGACUCCAUAAUGUUGUAUAUUACAUUCUUGCCAAUCCAAACAUUAACUCCUUUGAAACAUAUUACUAUCUACAUUCAGAUGAAUUAAGACUCUUAAUUAUAAAUACAAUUAAAAAUAUAUGAAACAAAUUCUUGUGUUUUUUCUUCCAUAGAAAAUAUGAUUAAAUGCAUCUUAUAAUCAAAUGCAUAUCACAUCAAGAGAGGUUAGUCAGUGGUUUUUAUUUUAUCUGAAACUUACAGAUCCAUCACUGUGUGUCUCGGAGCCGGAAAGGGCGCUCUGGGAGCUCGGCAGUACGGUGGUGGGGAUAGGUGUGCAGAAAUGUGCGUCUGGGCUGGCUGGACGGACCUCUUUCCUUCUGGUUACAUAAUUAUUUCUGCAUAUAAAGUUUAUAGAUAGCAUUUGUUCUUUUUAUUUGAUUUUUUAAUGAAGAUCAGUUAUCCUUUAGAUGUCAGUAGCUUUUAUUUAGGUUUUUUUUUUUAAUGAUGUGGUAUGAGAGCAAAGUUUAAAUAAACAUUAGCAUUAAUCUUGGAAUUAAUUACAAGUAUGAGAAGCACAAGUAAUAUACAAGUAAGGUUUCGUGGUCUCGAGGUAAACAAUUACCAUAAUUGAAAUUGGUAAUCUUGAUUUUACGUAAUUUUACAUUAGAGAAAAUUUGAUUGUUUGAAAAUGUAAGGAAAUUGUUAGUGUAUCUCUAAACCAUGCAUUAGAUUAAACACAUAGUUAAUGCCUUUUAUUUUUGAAUUUUUAUUCUCAAAUAGCUUAGAAUUUCUUGUAAAAAGGAAACUAUUUCUACAUCAGUUAUUAUAUUAUUUGGCUCCACUGUAGGAAACAUGGGUAAUUUUAUACAACAUUUUUAUCAAUAAAUAAUUCAUUUCCUUAAUGGUUUAGUUUCACAAAAACAUAGGUUAUAUCCUUUCAAUGAGAUUUAUUGUUAGACACAGAUUCAUGUAUGUUAUAAUUAUUUCUGACACAGGGUCUUACAAAUGUGUUAAUUUAUGAAUAAUUUACUAUUAUUUUUAUAAUAUUAAAGGUUUAAUUUGCUGAUGUUCCAAACAAAUGAAAGUUACUAAUAAGUGUUUGUAUUUGACAUCUGUAUACUGUACUUUUUAGCCUAU